rnacentral:lncRNA from 1 species
GUGUAUUUGGGAUUUGUUAGUGUUUUUUUUUUUUUUUUCAGACCCAGGAUUCAUUACAAGUGAUUAUGCAAGAAUAAGCCUCAAGGCUGUUAUGCACGUAGAAUGCUUCUGGCCUUUGCAGCUUCUCCCACCUCUGUAUUUCUUCAGAAAAAGGAGAAAAAGCCAGAUUAGAUGAUGAGGGUCAGCGGAGGACAUCAGCACACAGCUGAAAACAUCCCCAAGCCUACACUCUCCUUUACUACUCCAAUUCCAGCCAGAUAUGUGUGCAUUCCUGUUACAGAUCCUGUUAACCAGCUGCAGGCUGGGAGAUGAGGAGGUCGCACUCCUCGUGGCCGGGAGGAGGCCUGGCAGCGAGGGCUCUGCUUGCUGCCCCAACCCACAGCCUGGCAGGGCAGGAGGUGCUCCCAGUUUAUCCUCUGAGUUCCCUCAAAGCCAGCGCCAAGUCCUCAGGCCAGGCUGCGGGGGGCUGCUGGGACCAAAGGAGCCCGUGAAAGGAAGGUGUAGAGGAAUAAAUAAACCGAGGAGUUUCAGCCUGCAACAGGUGAGCACGCCAGCACCCUGAAGAGCCUUGCUGUCACUGGUGUGCUCCAGGGACUGCACUGCCACGGGCUGUCCUUAUAAAAGGAUUGUUGAAAGGAGUGACUGGAUUAGCAGCACACUUGGGCAUUCUUCUUGUUUAGUGCAGCCAGCCCCGUGCCAAUCUUGGAUCAAAAUGAAUCAGGAAUCUCAGGAGACUUUGUUAGCUCCUUUGUAUAAUUUCUUGUAUUUCAUGCAAAUCUCACACAUUCAUUGCUUCUGAGAGACUUUCUGCCUUUCUCUAAUUUUCUUUCAUAUGGAGAUCACAGAGUUAACCCGCUCACUCAAUGUCUGUGUUCUUCGCAGUAGCUAAUCUCACCACCUAGUCCAGUUUAACUAGCUUCUAAUUUAUUUCUCAGUACUGACUAGAUACCAUCUGCAUAUAUUUUUUUUGGCAGCAAACUGGGAUUUAUAUCACUACAAUGUGUUAUAUCCGUGGUGUGUUCCACUCCAUUAAGCACCUCAUCAAAUCCUUUAAGAAUAUUUUUUGUAGCCUGCUCAAUAGCUAGAUGAUGCACCCUUUUGUGGUUUGCUGUUCAACCCCAGCGAGCUAUAACUUUUUUUCCCCAAAACAUAAGGUAAUCUUAACUCUCAGAUGUGGAAACAUGCAAAAAAGUCCCCUCCAGUCUCACUUUGAAGUUAAUUCCCUGUGUAUUGCAAGGAAAGCUAUACCAUGCCCCCUCUGAAACUUG